UGGAGAGUUGUGGUGUUCAAUAGUAGAGGAUGUGGUGAUAGUCCUGUGACAACUCCCCAGUUCUAUUCAGCUUCAUUUCUUGGUGAUAUGUAUGAAGUGGUGGCACAUGUCAGCAAUCGCUAUCCAGCGGCAAAUUUAUAUGCAGUAGGUUGGUCUCUUGGAGCAAAUAUUCUUGUUCGCUACUUGGGACAGGAAUCUCAUUCUUGCCUUCUCUCAGGUGCUGUUUCCUUGUGCAAUCCUUUCAAUUUGGUCAUUGCAGACGAAGAUUUUCACAAGGGCUUUAACAAUGUCUAUGACAAAGCAUUAGCAAAUUCUCUUCGCAAAAUUUUCAAAAAGCAUGCUCUACUGUUUGAAGAUAUGGAAGGUGAAUUUAAUAUAUCAUUAGCUGCCAAUGCAAAAACUGUUAGAGAAUUUGAUGAUGGACUGACACGAGUUUCAUUUGGAUUCAAGUCCGUGGAUGAUUACUAUUCUAACUCAAGUAGCUCAGAUUCCAUUACAAAUGUCUGUACACCUCUGCUUUGUAUCCAAGCUGCAAAUGAUCCAAUUGCUCCAGCUAGAGGAAUCCCUCGUAAAGAUAUUGAGGAGAACUCAAACUGUAUGUUGAUUGUAACCCCUAAAGGAGGCCAUCUUGGUUGGGUGGCAGGUCCUGAUGCACCACGGGGAUGCCCAUGGACUGAUCCACAUGUGAUGGACUUCUUGGAGUAUAUAGAACAUGAUAAAUCUACUUCAGCUGCAUGUGCUAGCAAUCAGGAGACUAUGAACAACGGUGUUACUGAACGAUUCCAGCACCUUGAGGUAUAGCAACAAGGUGUCGAAUUCAAAUAUUUCAUCAUGUUGUUAUAGGCACAUAUCAAGCACUGGCUGACGAGACAGUAAUGUAUGUAUCAUAUAUCAUCAAAUUUUGGCGACUUCUUGGUAUUCAUGCGUUGCAACAUGGAGCCUAUUCUUUGAUUAUCCACCACCAUCCAAUAAUUAUAUAAACCAUAGUGUUUGGUGAAGCUAGUCAAGAACAAUCCAUUAAGGAAAUUUUCUAUUUAGAAGUUACAAUUCUAUGCUCCUCAUUGAAGAUGGAGUUUACAGAAGUUAGAGACUGACACCUUAUUUGGAUGGGCAUUGGAUUGUUAGUUUAAAUAAAUAUAAUGCUUUUUUUUAUUGUUACUUAAACUUUAUUGCAUUGCAUUGUUUAAAUUCAACUUAGA
rnacentral:misc_RNA from 1 species